rnacentral:rRNA from 1 species
UACGUAGGGUGCAAGCGUUGUCCGGAAUUAUUGGGCGUAAAGAGCUCGUAGGCGGUUUGUCGCGUCUGCCGUGAAAGUCCGGGGCUCAACUCCGGAUCUGCGGUGGGUACGGGCAGACUAGAGUGAUGUAGGGGAGACUGGAAUUCCUGGUGUAGCGGUGAAAUGCGCAGAUAUCAGGAGGAACACCGAUGGCGAAGGCAGAUCUCUGGGCAUUAACUGACGCUGAGGAGCGAAAGCAUGGGGAGCGAACAGG